rnacentral:misc_RNA from 1 species
CGUAGGAAUCUGAAAUUAUUUCAGAUAGCAUCAACGAACUAUUUCGUUUGUAUAAUGGUUGGCGCUAUUUUGCGGCUUCGGGGUUCCCAGAAGGACAUGGUGGUUGAAAAGGAGACUGAACACAAGUUAAAAUUCUUCUCAUUCCAGUAUGACAAGUAUCCCUGGUUGUGUGGUUUAAUGAUAGUGUAUAUAUUGCUUGGUUACUACACCAUCUUCCUCAAUUCAUACUCUUCUCUUAUCAACCAUAUCAUCCUCUACUCUCAGACAAACCAGAUCAGAUCAACUCUUGGGUUUGGAUUUAGCGGAAACCUGGUGGGAUACCUCUACUUCGAGGACGUGUAUGCUAUCAGAAAUAUUCCGGAUUAUAUCUCGAAAGCAAUGGGUGCAGAUUUGAGGUACUUAUUGUUUCAGCUGCUAAUGACCAUCUCUGGAUAUAAUGCUGCCCGUUUCAAGCUCUUCACCUGCAGAUUGUUAUGUGACUCAGUACGCUUAAAGAAAUGUAUGCAAACAGCCCUUUUAAGUCUGGUGUGUGGCUGGUUGUUCUUGGACUCUGCAUAUUCUCUAGGACUCCUUCAGCAGGCUGUGUUUUACACUAUCAAAUACAAGCUUAAUGUGAACAUUCUGGGCAUGCAUCCGAUCCUCGCCAUCCUAGUUCUAGCCGUAGCGACAGUAAUAGGUUUCUACAUCUCGUUCCAGGUUUUAAACGAGUGUACGUCAGAUAAAGAGAAAAAGACUGAGAAUAAAUCUGGAAAAAUAUCCAACAAGUUCAAGGAAAUGUCUGAAAACAAUGAUCCGGUCCUCCCUAUCUUCGUUCUAGCCGUAGCCACAGCUUCGGCUUUCUACGUAUCUGUAGCUGCACAGGAGUCAGGGUAUGACGGUAGGAAGAGUAAACCUGGAAAAAUAUCCAACAUGUUCAAGAAAACAGCUGCUCCUCAAGUGAUAUGCUCCAAGUUCCUGAGAUUUUGUUCACGAGUUUACCUAAUUCUUCUCGGCCUAACAGUUCUAGCGUUCUCAAUUUACAUUCAAGUUGGUGUGAUUCUUCUGCGUGCAGACCCUGCCUACCUACCCAGUGUAACCUACAACAAUGAAUCCUAUCCUACAAUGAACGGAGUUACAUUCUACGUGAAGGAAGACCUUGAUCUAAAACAUGAACAUGUGGCUCUCCCCAUAAACCUAGGGUUCAACCUCCCCAUGGAGUUCUACAGUCUUAACUUUAAUAGCUCCUGUACAGAUUGUGAAGAGUUUAUUUUGAGCCAAAGUUAUAGUUCUACUAGUUUGAUGGUAGUUCAGGCAACUAUCUGGGGACUAGCGGCCACCAAACUCCUUCUCAAUACCAUCUGCUGCGGAUCUCAUACACAAAGCAACUUGUUUAGGAUCCUUCUAUGGUCGUCUCUACUCCACUUCUACACUAUCCUCAGACAGAGCUGGUCUAUGGUCAGGUUUUGUGGCAACUCAGGACUCUCGAUCCUGAUUGUCCUAUCUGCUGCAGGGUUUGUCAUCAACCUUGUUAUUUUAGUUCUCUUCCAGAUAAGCUCACGGAGAGUUUCAAUUUAUAUGCCAGCCUAGGGUCCAGUGAAAUCACUGCAGAGAACAUUGUCGGAUAAAACUGCACUGAACAGUAUCUCUACAAA